rnacentral:rRNA from 1 species
CCUACGGGAGGCAGCAGUGGGGAAUUUUGGACAAUGGGCGAAAGCCUGAUCCAGCCAUGCCGCGUGCAGGAUGAAGGCCUUCGGGUUGUAAACUGCUUUUGUACGGAACGAAAAGGUCUUUUCUAAUAAAGAAGGCUCAUGACGGUACCGUAAGAAUAAGCACCGGCUAACUACGUGCCAGCAGCCGCGGUAAUACGUAGGGUGCAAGCGUUAAUCGGAAUUACUGGGCGUAAAGCGUGCGCAGGCGGUUAUAUAAGACAGUUGUGAAAUCCCCGGGCUCAACCUGGGAACUGCAUCUGUGACUGUAUAGCUAGAGUACGGUAGAGGGGGAUGGAAUUCCGCGUGUAGCAGUGAAAUGCGUAGAUAUGCGGAGGAACACCGAUGGCGAAGGCAAUCCCCUGGACCUGUACUGACGCUCAUGCACGAAAGCGUGGGGAGCAAACAGGAUUAGAUACCCUGGUAGUCCACGCCCUAAACGAUGUCAACUGGUUGUUGGGUCUUCACUGACUCAGUAACGAAGCUAACGCGNGAGUGACGCGNGGAGUACGCGCGAGUAGAACGUAGAAGAGUGNGNGNGAGAGCGACGACGACGACGAGGAGGAGG